rnacentral:rRNA from 1 species
GAUGAACGCUGGCGGCGUGCCUAAUACAUGCAAGUCGAACGAUCCGCCUUUGGCGGAUAGUGGCGAACGGGUGAGUAACACGUUGGUACCUACCCCGAAGUGGGGAAUAACUGCCCGAAAGGGUGGCUAAUACCGCAUAAUACCGCAAGGUUAAAGCAGUAAUGCGCUUCGGGAGGGGCCUGCGUCCCAUUAGCUAGUUGGUAGGGUAAUGGCCUACCAAGGCGACGAUGGGUAGCUGGAUCGAGAGGUUGACCAGCCACACUGGGACUGAGAUACGGCCCAGACUCCUACGGGAGGCAGCAGUAAGGAAUCUUCCACAAUGGACGAAAGUCUGAUGGAGCAACGCCGCGUGCAGGAUGACGGCCUUCGGGUUGUAAACUGCUUUUAUAUGGGAAGAUUAUGACGGUACCAUAUGAAUAAGGACCGGCUAACUACGUGCCAGCCGCCGCUGUAA